GCAUGCGGCGGUGGUCGUCCCCGACGUGGGAGGCUAGCGGUCGUCGCUGGUGGUAGCCGGGCAGGUUGCACGAGCUGAGAGAGAACCAUCUCCAACGUGGGGCCCACAAAUGGCAAGGCAAUUUGGGCUGGCCAAAUUUGGUCAUUGAGGGGAGGAGUUUGGCCAAUCAUUUGGCUUAGCCAUUAUAGUAGAGAGGUCGUUGGAAUGAGAUUUUUUUGUUAAAAUAGCUAAAUUUUAACCUGGAGAGUCUAUUGGAGAGUUUGUUGGAGAUGCUUUGACACCUUCA
rnacentral:lncRNA from 1 species